GACGAACGCUGGCGGCGUGCUUAACACAUGCAAGUCGAACGGAAAGGCCCGGCUUUUGUGGGGUGCUCGAGUGGCGAACGGGUGAGUAACACGUGAGUAACCUGCCCUUGACUUUGGGAUAACUUCAGGAAACUGGGGCUAAUACCGGAUAGGAGCUCCUGCUGCAUGGUGGGGGUUGGAAAGUUUCGGCGUUGGGGGAUGGACUCGCGGCUUAUCAGCUUGUUGGUGGGGUAGUGGCUGACCAAGGCUUUGACGGGUAGCCGGCCUGAGAGGGUGACCGGCCACAAUGGGACUGAGAUGCGGCCCAGACUCCUACGGGGGGCAGCAGUGGGGAAUAUUGCACAAUGGGCGGAGGCAUGAUGAAGGAACGCCGCGUGCGGGAUGACGGCCUCCGGGGUGUAAACAGCUUUCGCCUGCGACGAAGCGUGAGUGACGGUAAUGGGUAAAGAAGCACCGGCUAACUACGUG
rnacentral:rRNA from 1 species